GAGCGGCGCGGCGCAGCGGCCUCGCAAGUCCCUUGGAAGAGGGCGCCGGAGAGGGUGAGAGCCCCGUGGCGAGGCGCGGUGUGUUGUGCGAUUUGCGUUCGAAGAGUCGGGCUGUUUGAGAUCGCAGCCCAAAGCGGGAGGUAAAUUUCUUCCAAAGCUAAGUAUGGGCGGGAGACCGAUAGUGGAAAAGUAGAGCGAUCGAAAGAUGAAAAGAACUUUGAAAAGAGAGUGAAAAGGACCUGAAAUUGUUGAAAGGGAAGAGAUUCGCGGCAGUGGGAACGGUGCGGCGUGGCGAACAACGCGACGCGGCACGGUCUGCAUGGCUUGCCGGCGCCGGAGACGGUCCGCGGAACAAGGUAGGCAUCUCUGCGGAGUGCUGUUAUAGAUCUGGGGACGGUGCGGGCGCGCGGGGAGCGAGGAGGUUAGGAGAUGCAGGCGAAAUGGCGCGAAU
rnacentral:rRNA from 1 species